rnacentral:rRNA from 1 species
CGGUGGAGCAUGUGGUUUAAUUCGAUGCAACGCGAAAAACCUUACCACUUCUUGACAUGGAGGCUAGAUCCUUCUUAACGGAAGGGCGCAGUUCGGCUGGGCCUCGCACAGGUGCUGCAUGGCUGUCGUCAGCUCGUGUCGUGAGAUGUUGGGUUAAGUCCCGCAACGAGCGUAACCCUCAUCCUUAGUUACCAGCGGGUAAUGCCGGGCACUUUAAGGAAACUGCCAGUGAUAAACUGGAGGAAGGUGGGGAUGAUGUCAAGUCAGCACGGCCCUUAUGGGGUGGGCUACACACGUGCUACAAUGGCGACUACAAUAGGUUGCAACG